UAGAUAGUAUCAUCCCUGUGAUUUUUCAAAGAUGAGGAAACUUGAGUCCAAAGGCCACAUGCUAAUAAACGAUAUUGGAACUCUGGUAUAAUUAGAAUUGUCUGACCACCCUGGUAAUGGAUAUCCUAACUUUGAGGGUCUAUUUUGUUGAUGCACACAAGCUUCAACUGAGCAAUGAUACCAGUAGAUGCCCAGACAUGAUAGGAAAAUUCAUGCAAGUGAAACCCACAAACAGAGAAGUGAAGAUUCAGCUUCUCCUGAGUGACAACCCAGAGGCAGAAGAUGUUAUGAACACAUUGCUCAACACCAUAAAGAAAAUCCUAGGUGUGUUCAUGACCUCUGUACCACCCUGAUGAAAGUACCUGGCAUGAGUCUGAUCACUUGUGGGCAAUGUCUUAUUUGCUUUGUGUCCCCAGUGCCUAGCGUGGUAGACCCAGUAAAUGUUUGUUGAACUCAGCAGCAUCUCCUCGAGCUCUCUAAGGAUUAGUUCAUUCCAGAGCCACAAUGAGCAUGAGCAGUAUAGACUUUCACUGAAGAUUUCACAGCAAAGAUAAAAGAAAGAUUUUACAUUGUACAUCCUACAACAAAUAACUUUAAUAAACA